CGCGGGGUAGUUCAGUCCGGCAGAACGCCGGGCCCAUAACCCGGAGGUCGCCGGUUCAAAUCCGGCCCCCGCUA
rnacentral:tRNA from 1 species